CCCCACAUAUUUAGGUUUUCUUUUAAGUCUUUCUUCUGAGUCACUAAGAAGCUGCACUUGCUAAAGUUUGAUACUUGCUUCUUUUUUCUUUCCUAGGUGUGAAGCUUUGGAGGAAGAAAAUUCAACUCAAUGAGGCACUGCUGAAGAAGAGGUUCAACCAUCAUGCUGCUGUGGCUCAUGAUGCAGAUCAGAAACCCCACAUGUGCGAUGCUGUGAUGGAUCUCUUGCAUGAGAUUCACUCUCCAGUCUCCAAAAUGCAAGCUGGAUGCCAGAUCUCAAACCAGUGCUAGCAAGGAGCAUGCUUAUAAGUCAUAACCACACGUGUACAAUUUGUUUAUUUGGAGCUGUCCUAAAUUUGUAUCAUUUCCCAAAAGGAAGACUGUGUGCACCAGGCCUAAUUGUAUGCACACCCUCCUCCUUCCUUCUCUUAGUUGUCCACAACUGGAGUCACUCUCUAAUGCCAUCAAAUGGGAAGUUUUGCAAACUCCUCUUAAUUACGAGACUCGAGGAAGCAAAGUUCUCUUCACUACAUGCAGUAAGAGAGUUGCUUCAACCAUGCAGUCAAAUAAAGCGAGUCAACUAGAGCAAUUACAUGAAGAACAUUGCUAGAAAUAUGAAUUUUGGUUCUUGUCUCUCACGUUGAUGUGUAUGACUUGUUCUCCAUGGGACUGUGGGUAUUGAUUGCCGUGUUUUAUGUUCUACUUUUUCAUUUGUAUCAUUGGAAUUCUAUAAUUGAAAGAGUGGGAAUAUAAAAAUGUGAAGGGUGUUGUUUUCUUUUGUUUAAUAAGACAGCUUCUAUACAGAAUUAUCCUAAGCUAAAAAAGCACUUGCCAGUUAAGAAUUAUCCUAAGCUUCUAGACAGCUUCUACAAUUGCCAACAGCUUGUGGCUUCUGUUUCAAAGGCUCAAGCUAUUGACUUCACCAAAUUGUAGGGUUCAGUUAGAUUUAUAGGGUCCAGUUAGAGAUAUAGUUUGUAGGAUAUUAGUUAUUUGUUGUUGAUAGUUAGUUACUAAUUGGAUGAUGCCUAUAAAUGGCUUCAUGUAGACUUGAUGUAAUAACUUUUACUCAUUCAAUCAAAUAGCAAUUUGACUUUAGUCUCAA